GAUGAACGCUGGCGGCGUGCCUAAUACAUGCAAGUCGAACGAAACUUCUUUAUCACCGAGUGCUUGCACUCACCGAUAAAGCGUUGAGUGGCGAACGGGUGAGUAACACGUGGGCAACCUGCCCAAAAGAGGGGGAUAACACUUGGAAACAGGUGCUAAUACCGCAUAACCAUAGUUACCGCAUGGUAACUAUGUAAAAGGUGGCUAUACUACCGCUUUUGGAUGGGCCCGCGGCGCAUUAGCUAGUUGGUAGGGUAAAGGCUUACCAAGGCAAUGAUGCGUAGCCGAAUUGAGAGGUUGAUCGGCCACAUUGGGACUGAGACACGGCCCAAACUCCUACGGGAGGCAGCAGUAGGGAAUCUUCCACAAUGGGCGAAAGCCUGAUGGAGCAACGCCGCGUGGGUGAAGAAGGUCUUCGGAUCGUAAAACCCUGUUGUUAGAGAAGAAAGUGCGUGAGAGUAAUUGUUCACGUUUCGACGGUAUCUAACCAGAAAGCCACUGCUAACUACGUG
rnacentral:rRNA from 1 species